rnacentral:SRP_RNA from 1 species
AUAUGGGUCCUGUGCGACGGGGACUUUGCGAACCAUGUCAGGCGGGGAACCGAGCAGCAUUAAGCACUGGGCUCGUGCGCCGCAGUUUUGCCUGUUAUCC